rnacentral:rRNA from 1 species
CAGUCGCCGCGGGAAUACGAAGGGGGCUAGCGUUGUUCGGAAUUACUGGGCGUAAAGCGCACGUAGGCGGAUAUUUAAGUCAGGGGUGAAAUCCCAGAGCUCAACUCUGGAACUGCCUUUGAUACUGGGUAUCUUGAGUAUGGAAGAGGUGAGUGGAAUUCCGAGUGUAGAGGUGAAAUUGGUAGAUAUUCGGAGGAACACCAGUGGCGAAGGCGGCUCACUGGUCCAUUACUGACGCUGAGGUGCGAAAGCGUGGGGAGCAAACAGGAUUAGAUACCCCCGUAGUCCCUGUCUCUUAUAC